rnacentral:tRNA from 1 species
CCCCGUGGCUCAGUUGGUAGAGCAUGGUGUUUGCAACGCCAGGGUUGUGGGUUCGAUUCCCACGGGGG